rnacentral:rRNA from 1 species
AGGGGGUAGCGACUGUUUAUCAAAAACACAGGACUCUGCUAACUCGCAAGAGGACGUAUAGAGUCUGACGCCUGCUCGGUGUCGGUAGGUUGAGGGAGGCGAUUAGCGAAAGCGAGGUUGCCGACCGAAGCCCCGAUAAACGGCGGCCGUAACUAUGACGGUCCUAAGGUAGCGAAAUUCCUUGUCGGGUAAGUUCCGACCUGCAUGAAUGGCG